rnacentral:rRNA from 1 species
UACAGAGGGGGCAAGCGUUAUUCGGAAUUACUGGGCGUAAAGGGCGCGUAGGCGGCCUGUUAAGUCGAACGUGAAAUCCCCGGGCUCAACCCGGGAACUGCGUCCGAUACUGGCAGGCUUGAAUCCGGGAGAGGGAUGCGGAAUUCCAGGUGUAGCGGUGAAAUGCGUAGAUAUCUGGAGGAACACCGGUGGCGAAGGCGGCAUCCUGGACCGGCAUUGACGCUGAGGCGCGAAAGCCAGGGGAGCAAACGGG